GUUAGACAACCAUGUGAUAAUCAACUUGAUACCAACUGGGACAAAAGUUAGUUUAUUACAAAUGUGCAGUCAUUCUUAAAAACAAACAUUAAAGGGCACUGUUUGUCCUUUCACAUUGCCCUCUUUUAUAGGCUAUUUGUCAGAGGUAUCACUUUCACCCAUAUUAUUAUUGAUUUAUAUAUCAUCUAUUUAUUCAAGACUCCAGUUCAACAGUAUUUAAAUAGGCUGUUUUCUUUGUGCAUGCAUAUCAAUUUGUGUUAAGACAGUACAAUAGUUUUGAAGGGUUGUCCAGUAGAUUAAAACCAUGUUUAUUGAACUGUUUCUUUUGUGUAUUGGAGCUUUUUUUCUGUUCUUCCAGCUCAGAAUUCGGCAACUUAAAAAUUUCCCCCCUGGACCUACACCUCUUCCCUUAUUUGGAAAUUUGCUACAACUGGAUCACAGAAGCCCAUUAAAGGACCUGGAUAAGUUUGCUCAGCAGUAUGGAUCAGUCUACAGUCUGUAUAUUGGUAGGCAUCCAGCAGUAGUGUUGACAGGUCACAAAGUGAUCAGAGAGGCAUUGGUCACACAAGCGGUGGAGUUUGCUGGUAGACCGAGUACCAUGUUAUUCAGUCAUUUAACACAGAACAAAGGAGUUAUAAUGGCGGAUUUUGGAAACGGUUGGAAGGAACAUCGACGUUUUGCACUGACCACACUGAGGAACUUUGGCCUUGGAAAGAAAAGUAUGGAGCAGAGGAUUCUGGAUGAGGUCAAAUUUAUCAUCUCACAUCUGGAGGAAUCCGCUGGGAAAGCAAAUGACCCACAAUAUUUAUUCUAUCAAGCUGCUUCAAACAUCAUUGCCACUAUCAUCUUUGGGUCACGCUUUAGAUAUCAGGAUAAAUAUUUCCAAAAAUUGGUCACAGCCGUGGAGCAUUUGGCUAAAAUGAUCAUCGGACCAUGGGCAAUGCUUUAUGAAAUAGCUCCAGCACUUAGGAUUUUCCCACUGCCAUUCAGGAAAGGUUUUCAAUAUUUUGAUCAGAUUAAACAACACAUUCUUAAAGUUGUUGGUGAGCACAAGAUGUCACGGGUUCCUGGGAAGCCUAGAGAUUUGAGUGAUGUUUACCUGGAGGAGAUGGAGAAGAGAGCAGAUCAAUGCACAACAUUUAAUGAUUCUCAGAUGGUUACUUUGCUCUUUGACUUGUUUUUGGCUGGAACUGAGACCACCUCUAACACACUCCGUACCUUAAUCCUCUAUUUGAUGACCCACACUUACAUGCAAGAGCGAUGUCAGCUAGAGAUUGAUGAAGUCCUUGGGGCUCGUGAACAUGUUACAUACGAGGACAGAAACGCCAUGCCCUACGUUCAGGCAGUGAUUCAUGAGGCUCAGCGUGUUGGUGACUUAGCUCCUCUUAGUAUGUUUCACACUGCCACAACCAACACCCAACUACAGGGCUACAGCAUCCCAAAGGGGACUAUUAUAAUUCCUUAUCUGUCAUCUGCUCUCAGAGAUAAAAGUCAGUGGAAGUUUCCCAAUGAAUUUAACCCUCAAAACUUCUUGAAUGAAAAAGGGGAAUUUGUGAAACCUGAUGCAUUCAUGCCUUUCUCUGUUGGAUCCCGUGUAUGUUUAGGAGAGAGUCUAGCUCGCAUGGAGCUCUUUCUCAUCCUGGUCACAAUACUGCGGCGAUUUCGUCUGAUCUGGCCAGAGGAUGCAGGAGUCCCAGACUUCAAUCUUAUAUAUGUCCCUUUAAGAAAGAAGGUCAGUAAGACUUAGCAUGUGGAGAGAUGGACCAGGAGCCCACUGAGGAACCAUGUGGCCAGCACCCUGGAAAGAUAGAGUUUAGUUCUUCUCCUCAUCUCCAUCCCGGGAUUCUCAUCUACCACCUGCAACCAUAGAGACUAUUCAUUUCCAAGCUAAGUCCUAUCUGAUGAACUCUUGCAUACUGCUUACCUUUAUCCAUUCAAUAUCAUCUGUUAUUCAAUAAAACUGCAUUUAACUGCCAUUCCUCUGUGUGACAGAAGACCAGCCCAACAUGCGGAUCCUACUAAGUCCGUGGGAAAGACGGCUUGCAAUCCAUUUGCGGAAUUGGUUCAGGCAGUUCGUCAGUCACUAUUAACCUCACCACUGAUAAAUCCUUAAAAUACCCUUAAAUUAUUUUUCCUUCAAAUCUACUGAGACUUCCGACCCCAUUUACUCUACAUCAGUCGAAAGUCCACCUGUCCAACACCAAGUGGAGAUACCCACCAAGUACCAGGCGUUCCAGGAUGUCUUUAGCAAGCACCUGGCUACUAAACUACCACCUCACUGGCCAUGGGACUGCGCUAUCGACUUGCUACCUGGAGCCACUUUACCCAAGGGUCGUAUAUAUCCUUUAUCCUUCCCGGAGCAAAAAGCAAUGGAGGAAUAUGUGAAGGAAGCCUUACAACAGCAGUUCAUCCGACCUACUUCCCCUGCCAACUCCCAAAUGGUAAAGUUUAGCAAUCCCUUUCCUCUGGUCCCCGCUGCACUGGAGCAGUUACGAGGUGCUCGCAUUUUCUCUAAGCUGGAUCUGCGCAGUGCCUAUAAUUUGAUUCAUAUCAGACAAGGAGACGAGUGGAAGACUGUCUUUGUUACCCCUCUGGCCACUAUGAAUACCAAGUCAUGCCCUUCGGACUCUCCAACUCGCCAGCAGUCUUCCAAGGUUACAUGAACAAAGUUUUCCCGGAGUUCCUAAACUGAUUUGUGGUAAUCUACAUAGCUGACAUCCUCAUCUACCCUUUCUCUCUGGCACAACAACAACGUCACGUCAAACUAGUCUUGGAGAAACUUAGAGAACAUCACCUGUAUCUUAAACUGGAGAAAUGCGAGUUCCACAACACCAAUGUCCAGUUCCUGGGUUACAUCAUCAAUCAGCAAGGAGUGCAGAUGGACCAGAAGAAGGUGGAGGCGAUUCAAAACUGGCGCUUACCCUCUAGGCUUUGCCAACUUUUACAGAAGAUUCAUCAUUAAUUACAGUCUUAUUAGUUCGCCAGAAGCCAUCUCUAUAUUCAAACUCCUCAAAGAAGCCUUUCAGUCCGUGCCAAUCCUUAUCCCUCCUAAUCCAUAACUUCAUUUUAUUGUCGAAGUCGACACUUCGACCACCGGAGUCAGAGCUAUGCUCUCACAGCGGCAGGGGAACCCUUCUCGACUUUACUCAUGUGCCUACUUCUCCAAGAAGUUAUCUCCGGCAGAGUGGAUUUACGGCAUAGUUAAUAGAGAACUGCUCGCCAUCAAUCUUGCCCUUGAAGAAUGAAGACAUUGGCUGGAGGGAGCUAACCAUCAGUUUGAAGUGAUCAUGGACCAUCGCAAUCUGGAAUAUCUUUGUGAAACCAAAAGGCUAAACUCAGGACAGGCUCGUUGGGCUCUAUUCUUCACCCGCUUCGAUGUCAUUGUUACCUACUGACCUGGCAGUAAGAAUAUCAAGGCAGAUACCCUCUCUCGUAUUCAUAGUUCCUCCUCUGAGGACCACUUACCUGAAUCCAUCCUCCCUCCAGCCGUAUUCGUGAGUCCGAUUGUCUGGGAUAUCAACAAACAGAUCAACCAGGAGAACUUAAACCAUCCCGCUCCGCCCGAGACCCCUGAUGGUCUCAUCUUUGUGCCUGAACAUCUUCAUACUGAGCUUCUGGGUUCAGUGCACUGUGCUCCAGGCUCUGGACAUCCAGGUUGCAGGUGAACCUUCUCGCUCCUUAGGGGUUGUGCACACCAAAACUUUUAAAUGCGCGCUGAAAACGCAGAGCUUCCAUUGGAAACACCUGAAAACAUGUGCUGGCCGUGGGCGUAAAAGCUGUGGUGUGCACGCCCCCUUAGUCAUGGGUACUGGUGGCCAUCUCUCUCCCAGGAUGUGACACAGUACGUGAAAGGGAUGCUCAGUCUGCGCCAUAACCAACACCCCCAGAAGGCUCCCCAUGGGGUAAUUGGUCCCUCAUCCCAUACCUCAGCGGCCAUGGUCCCACCUAAGUAUUGACUUCAUGACAGAUCUGCCCAGAUCCCAAAACCAUACCGGCAUUCUAGUAGUUGUGGACUGAUUCUCCAAGGGCUGCAAAUUAAUCCCUCUGCCCAAACUCCCAACCGUUUUUGAAGCCGCUGAAGCCCUCUUCCAUCAUGUGUUCCGCAACAUUGGUAUUCCUGAGGACAUUGUGUCAGAUCGCAGACCGGAAUUCAUAUUUAAGGUCUGGCCACCCUUCUUCAAACUCCUUGGAGUGACCGGGAAUCUGUCCUCAGGAUACCACCCUCAAACUAAUGGCCUGGCUGAGCAUAAGAUCCAGGAGAUCAGAUGGUACCCAUGCACCUACUGCCACUCGUACCGGUGCACCUUAAUUUCAACCUGGACAAAAGGUGUGGCUAUAUACCAGGGACAUCUGCCUCCACCAGCCCUGUUGAAACUGAGUCCCUGUUACAUAGGCCCUUUCACCAUCCAUACCAUCUUGGACUCCCAACGACGAGGUCCCCAACUAAAGUAUCUAGUCGAUUGGGAGGACAAGUGCCGCCUCAGGAGGAGGGGGUACUGUCAGGACUGCAUUUCCUUUACCGUCUUCCUCAUUCACUCCACCCACUUGCUCUCACUCCCCUGAGUUCUAAUCAUCUCCACCUAAACCUCUUCACCCCUACCCUUUAUAACCUGCACUUUCACAUCCACUCGCUGUCUGGUCUCGUCAGUUAUGACACUGACUUCAUCAUACUACUUACAUCAAGGACUUAACUGUAUUCUCCUCGUCUUCAUCUGCCAGUCGUUUCUCUUCUCAUCUCCAUCCCAGGAUUCUCAUCUGCCACCUGCCACCAUAGAAACUCUAUAAAUCUCCAAGCUAAGUUCCCAUCUGAUGAAUUCUUGCAUACUGCUUACCUUUAUC